CCACAUGUGAGAUUAAUAUUGUAUACGUUUCUCUUCCUGGAAUGUUCCGUGUGGUGACUGAUAAAACCGUCUUUGCUACUCCAGAAGCCCAAAUGGGUUUCCAUCCUGAUGCAGGGGCCUCCUACUAUCUCUCCCGUCUACCUGGUUAUUUACGGGAAUACUUGGCUCUAACAGGGGAAAAACUUAAUGGAGCGGAAAUGAUCGCCUGUGGCC